GUAGUUGUGGCCGAGUGGUUAAGGCGAUGGCUUUGAAAUCCCUUGGGGGGGUCCCUUGGGGGGGUCCCCCCCCACGCAGGUUCAAAUCCUGUCAACUACA